rnacentral:rRNA from 1 species
CGGCGGACGGGUGAGUAACGCGUGGGGAACCUGCCCUGUACCGGGGGAUAGCAGCCGGAAACGGCUGAUAAUACCGCAUAAGCGCACGAAUGUCGCAUGACAUGGUGUGAAAAACUCCGGUGGUAUAGGAUGGACCCGCGUCUGAUUAGCCGGUUGGUGGGGUAAAAGCCUACCAAAGCGAAGAUCAGUAGCCGAGUUGAGAGACUGACCGGCCACAUUGGGACUGAGACACGGCCCAGACUCCUACGGGAGGCAGCAGCC